rnacentral:pre_miRNA from 1 species
AAAUUUGGAGGCCUGGGGCCCUCCCUGUUGCUAGAGAAGUGUUUCAUGGGUGGGCCUUGUCUUUGAAAGG